GCAGUCGUGGCCGAGUGGUUAAGGCGAUAGACUAGAAAUCUAUUGGGAUCUUCCCACACAGGUUCGAAUCCUGUCGACUGCG
rnacentral:tRNA from 1 species